AAGAGAGGCUAGAAUGCAGCAAAGACUGCUAAUCUUUGCAACUUCGGUUUGACUCCGGGGCUCACUUG
rnacentral:tRNA from 1 species